rnacentral:rRNA from 1 species
GCCUACGGGGGGCAGCAGUGGGGAAUAUUGCACAAUGGGGGAAACCCUGAUGCAGCGACGCCGCGUGAGUGAAGAAGUAUUUCGGUAUGUAGAGCUCUAUCAGCAGGAACGAGACAAGACGGUACCUGACUAAGAAGCCCCGGCUAACUACGUGCCAGCAGCCGCGGUAAUACGUAGGGGGCAAGCGUUAUCCGGAUUUACUGGGUGUAAAGGGAGCGUAGACGGCGGCGCAAGUCCGGAGUGAAAGCCCACGGCCCAACCGUGGGACUGCUCUGGAAACUGUGCGGCUUGAGUGCGGGAGGGGG